CAGAGAAGAAGGAUUUUAACCUCCACCUCUAGCUCCCAAAGCUAGAAUCCUAAAAUUAAACGAUUCUCUG
rnacentral:tRNA from 1 species